AAAUGACUAACACAUAGAGAACAUUUCUUGCAUUAUAGCAAUGUACUUUCAAAGUACAAUACUUAAAUAAGCAAAUUUACAAAUUAAAAAGAACCUGACCAAAUAUCUCAACAUUUUGACUUUUACAUAGUAGGAUGCUAUUAAUGAACUUAAAAUUAUCAUUUUUGAAGAAUCUGACCAAACACAUCAAAAUUAUGACUUUUAAAUAGUACAAUGCUAUAAAUGAAUUUAAAAAAUAUCAAUUUUCCAGAACUUGGCUAAUUAUGUCGUAAUUGUGACUUAUAAAUAUUAUAAUGCUAAAAGCAAACUUAUAAAUGGUAAUUUUUAGAGAAUAUGAUCAAAUAUGUCAAAAUUGUGACUAUUACAUAGUACAAUGCUAUAAGUGAAAGUAGACUGGUAUUUAAAAAUUAUUUCCGCUGUUAACUAAAUUGGCAAUGAAACCUAAAAGGUUUCACAAUCUCAAAUACACAAUAAAAAACAACCCAUAUAGCAGAUUUAAGUUGGUAUACUUCAAUACCUUUUUAUUUCUUAAAGAAAAGCCAAUGGUCCCAUGUAGAUUGUGUGUAUCAACAGGGAAACCAUCUGUUAAAUGAAAUGCAUUAGAUGUCCAUAUGGGAAACAUUGAAUUUAUAGAUGACAUAGUGGGUUGGAAGCUUGAUCCAUCAAAAUGAAAAAAAAAAAAAGAAAAAAAAAGAAAGACAGACAACUUUGUUAUUUUCUCUAAUUUGGUCACUCAAGUUUAAAAACCAUUAAGUAUUCGAUCUUAGAAAAAUGAUGACCCAGGUUAAUAUGAUACAAAUUUAUAGCCACUUAAUUACAUUGUAUCCACCACAUAUAAUUUUAACUUUAGAUAAUUACAACUCACAAGUUACUAAACCUUAAUUUCAUUAAAAAUGAAUGUGAGUAAUAUAACACAAGUCCAAAUAGUUUAAUAAUAAUAAUUACAUAAAUAAGAAAAGCCACAAAUAAGAAAACCAGAAAUCCAAUUUUAUCAUCACAUACUUUCUUAAAUUUUUUUUAUAGAAAAAGGAGAUAAGAAUACAUGGAAGGAGUUGUCUCACCCAAAAGAUAGAAUACUUACCAUUCGUAAUAUAAGAACCAUGUCGUUUGUCAUAUUCUUUAAUAGUGCCAUCAUUGGAAAAUCAUGGAGGAGAUCUCGACUAAAACAACCACUAUAAUUAACACAAUAAAUACGAUAGAUUAAUGUCAGUGGAUGUAAAUUUCAAGUAAAUAAGGGAUUAAAAAGGACCAAUCACCAUGAAUUCAUUGUUUUUUUUAUCACAUAUAUAAUAAUAAUAAUACUAUCACUUACAUCACACUCUUAAAAGUUGAAACAUCGGUAAUGGCCAAACCUUCUCUUCCUGUAAAAAGACAAAUAAACCAAACUUAAAUACAAAAUUAAUUGCCAUCCCAAACUACUAUGGUAUUCUAGGUUAAAACCAAACACCAAAGGAGGCAAAGAUAACAUUUUGUGAUAACAUACACAUCAAAGUUUUCAUUUGGUCAAAUCAUCGAACAAUUGGCGUGUCUUAUGAAAUAGUUGUAACUUAAAACAAAGAGAUAUUAUGUUACCUUUUUAGUAGAAGAAUCAACAUCGAUACCACAAGCAACCAAAGUCUUAAACCCAAUAGUGGAGAUCGAUGGCAAUGCCUUGAUGCUGUGGCGACAACGAUAGGGGUAAUCGACCUUAUUCUUCCUCCAAUAGUUAUUGCUUAUCAAACCUAAAAUUAGCCUCGACAAUAAACGCAUAAAUCUCGGUAAUCAAUAGCUGAUAUAGCGAGACUUUUAUACAUGAAUGUGAUUCUACCGUGAAGUAAAUCGAAGAAAUUGCUGAAAAUCAGGAACAAAAUCAAGAUUGAGUUAAGAGUAUUGAAUAGUCCGGAUUUAAUUUAAAGGAGUAGAAGGGUAAAUCUGGAAUUUAACUUUGCAUGAAAUGAGUGUUUU
rnacentral:lncRNA from 1 species